CCUGACUGCUAUCGGAUUGAUACUAAGCCAUGCGAGUCAUUGUAGCAAUACAAGGCAGACGGCUCAGUAACGCGUAGUCAACCUACCCUAUGGACGGGAAUAACCUCGGGAAACUGAGUAUAAUGCCCGAUAGAACACUAUACCUGGAAUGGUUUGUGUUUCAAAUGAUUUAUUGCCAUAGGAUGGGACUGCGGCCUAUCAGUUUGUUGGUGAGGUAAUGGCCCACCAAGACUAUUACAGGUACGGGCUCUGAGAGGAGUGGCCCGGAGAUGGGUACUGAGACACGGACCCAGGCCCUAUGGGGCGCAGCAGGCGAGAAAACUUUGCAAUGUGCGAAAGCACGACAAGGUUAAUCCGAGUGGUUUCUGCUAAAGGAACCUUUUGACAGUCCUAGAAACACUGUUGAAUAAGGGGUGGGCAAGUUCUGGUGUCAGCCGCCGCGGUAAAACCAGCACCUCAAGUGGUCAGGAUGAUUAUUGGGCCUAAAGCAUCCGUAGCCGGCUCAGUAAGUUUUCGGUUAAAUCUGUACGCUCAACGUACAGGCUGCCGGGAAUACUGCAGAGCUAGGGAGUGGGAGAGGUAGACGGUACUCGGGAGGAAGUGGUAAAAUGCUUUGAUCUUUCGAUGACCACCUGUGGCGAAGGCGGUCUACCAGAACACGUCCGACGGUGGGGGAUGAAAGCUGGGGGAGCAAACCGGAUUAGAUACCCGGGUAGUCCCAGCUGUAAACUAUGCAAACUCAGUGAUGCAUUGGCUUGUGGCCAAUGC
rnacentral:rRNA from 1 species